UCGGAUUAGCUAGUUGGUGGGGUAACGGCUCACCAAGGCGACGAUCCGUAGCUGGUCUGAGAGGACGACCAGCCACACUGGAACUGAGACACGGUCCAGACUCCUACGGGAGGCAGCAGUGGGGAAUAUUGGACAAUGGGGGAAACCCUGAUCCAGCGACGCCGCGUGUGUGAAGAAGGCCUGCGGGUUGUAAAGCACUUUUAGUGGGGAUGAAAUGUGCAGGGUUAAUACCUCUGCAUUUUGACCUAACCCACAGAAAAAGCACCGGCUAACUCUGUGCCAGCAGCCGCGGUAAUACAGAGGGUGCAAGCGUUAAUCGGAAUUACUGGGCGUAAAGCGUGCGCAGACGGUUAUAUAAGUCGGGUGUGAAAGCCCCGGGCUCAACCUGGGAAUUGCAUUCGAGACUGUGUAGCUAGGGUACGGAAGAGGGAAGCGGAAUUUCAGGUGUAGCGGUGAAAUGCGUAGAUAUCUGAAGGAACACCAGUGGCGAAAGCGGCUUCCUGGUCCAGUACCGACGUUCAGGCACGAAAGCGUGGGGAGCAAACAGGAUUAGAUACCCUGGUAGUCCACGCCAUAAACGAUGAGAACUAGACGUUGGGGGGGUAAGCCCCUCAGUGUCGCAGCUAACGCGCUAAGUUCUCCGCCUGGGGAGUACGGCCGCAAG
rnacentral:rRNA from 1 species